rnacentral:rRNA from 1 species
UACGUAGGGGGCAAGCGUUGGUCCGGAAUCAUUGGGCGUAAAGAGCGUGUAGGCGGUCCGGUAAGUCCGCUGUAAAAGUCAAGGGCUCAACCCUUGAAAGCCGGUGGAUACUGCCGGGCUAGAGUCCGGAAGAGGCGAGUGGAACUCCUGGUGUAGCGGUGAAAUGCGCAGAUAUCAGGAAGAACACCUACGGCGAAGGCAGCUCGCUGGGACGGUACUGACGCUGAGACGCGAAAGCGUGGGGAGCAAACAGG